UACGUAGGGCGCAAGCGUUGUCCGGAAUUAUUGGGCGUAAAGAGCUCGUAGGCGGUUUGUCGCGUCUGCUGUGAAAACUCGAGGCUCAACCUCGGGCUUGCAGUGGGUACGGGCAGACUAGAGUGCGGUAGGGGAGACUGGAAUUCCUGGUGUAGCGGUGAAAUGCGUAGAUAUCAGGAGGAACACCCGAGGCGAAGGCGGCUCUCUGGGUCGUACCUGACGCUGAGGCGCGAAAGCGUGGGGAGCGAACGGG
rnacentral:rRNA from 1 species